rnacentral:rRNA from 1 species
CCUACGGGAGGCAGCAGUGAGGAAUAUUGGUCAAUGGACGCAAGUCUGAACCAGCCAAGCCGCGUGCAGGAAGACGGCCCUAUGAGUUGUAAACCGCUUUUGUACGAGGGUAAGGGCAGAUACGUGUAUCGGGCUGGAAGGUUCGUACGAAUAAGGAACGGCUAACUCCGGUCCAGCAGCCGCUGGUAUUAGGAGGGUUCACGCGUUUUCCGGAUUUAUUGGGUUUAAAGGGUGCGGAGGCGGGCGGAUAAGUUAGAGGUGAAAUCGCGGGGCUUAACUUCGGGCUUGCCUCUGAUACUGUUCGGCUAGAGAGUAGUUGAGGUAGGCGGAAUGUAUGGUGUAGCGGUGAAAUGCUUAGAGAUCAUGCAGAACACCGAUUGCGAAGGCAGCUUACC